UACGUAGGGGGCAAGCGUUGUCCGGAAUCAUUGGGCGUAAAGAGCGCGUAGGCGGCCCAGUAAGUCCGCUCUGAAAGUCAGAGGCUUAACCUCUGAAUGCGGGUGGAUACUGCUGGGCUAGAGUCCGGAAGAGGCGAGUGGAAUUCCUGGUGUAGCGGUGAAAUGCGCAGAUAUCAGGAGGAACACCGAUGGCGAAGGCAGCUCGCUGGGACGUUACUGACGCUGAGACGCGAAAGCGUGGGGAGCAAACAGG
rnacentral:rRNA from 1 species